ensembl:lncRNA
GCUGGGUCUAGUCAGGUUAUAGAUGGUGGUGUAGAUGAGGCUGGGUCUAGUCAUGUUAUAGAUGGUGGUGUAGAUGAGGCUGGGUCUCGUUACGUCAUGGAUGGUGGUGUAGAUGAGGCUGGGUCUAGUCAUGUAAUGGAUGGUGGUGUAGAUGAGGCUGGGUCUAGUCAGGAUAUAGAUGGUGGUGUAGAUGAGGCUGGGUCUAGUCAUGCUAUAGAUGGUGGUGUAGAUGAGGCUGGGUCUAGUCAUACUAUAGAUGGUGGUGUAGAUGAGGCUGGGUCUAGUCAUACUAUAGAUGGUGGUGUAGAUGAGGCUUGGUUGAGUCAUGUUAUAGAUGGUGGUUUAGAUGAGGCUGGGUCUAGUCAGGCUAUAGAUGGUGGUGUAGAUGAGGCUGGGUCUAGUCAUACUAUAGAUGGUGGUGUAGAUGAGGCUGGGUCUAGUCAUGCUAUAGAUGGUGGUGUAGAUGAGGCUGGGUCUAGUCAGGUUAUAGAUGGUGGUGUAGAUGAGGCUGGGUCUAGUCAGGUUAUAGAUGGUGGUGUAGAUGAGGCUGUGUCUAGUCAUACUAUAGAUGGUGGUGUAGAUGAGGCUGGGUCUAGUCAUACUAUAGAUGGUGGUGUAGAUGAGGCUGGUCUGAGUCAUGUUAUAGAUGGUGGUUUAGAUGAGGCUGGGUCUAGUCAGGCUAUAGAUGGUGGUGUAGAUGAGGCUGGGUCUAGUCAUGUAAUGGAUGGUGGUGUAGAUGAGGCUGGGUCUAGUCAUGUCAUGGAUGGUGGUG